GUGAGCGGCGCUCGGGGCGCGCUAGGCGGGGAGCCGAGCCGGGCUGGCGGCAGGCGGACGGGGCGGGCGCGUGCGGCGCGAGCCGGGCGCUGAGGACAAGGGCCGCUGGUAGGGCCGGCCGGCCGGCGGGCGGAGCGCCGCCGCCGACGCACACGAGGUGACCAGGCAUUGAUGCACCCCCAGGAAGGCCACGCGCUCAGGAGGCCCCCCCGCCCCGCUGGCUGCUGCUCACAUGGUGUCUGGGCCCUUGGCACUCUGGUGAGGCGCAGGGGAGGG
rnacentral:lncRNA from 1 species